rnacentral:rRNA from 1 species
GACGAACGCUGGCGGCGUGCUUAACACAUGCAAGUCGAACGGGGUAACUUUAGCAAUAAAGGUAUCUAGUGGCGGACGGGUGAGUAACGCGUGAGGAACCUGCCUUCAAGAGGGGGAUAACAUCGAGAAAUCGAUGCUAAUACCGCAUAAGACCACGCUCCCGCAUGGGAGAGGGGUCAAAGCCUCGGCGCUUGAAGAUGGCCUCGCGUCCCAUUAGCUAGUAGGCGGGGUAAAGGCCCACCUAGGCAACGAUGGGUAGCCGAGCUGAGAGGCUGAACGGCCACACUGGGACUGAGACACGGCCCAGACUCCUACGGGAGGCAGCAGUGGGGAAUAUUGGGCAAUGGGCGCAAGCCUGACCCAGCAACGCCGCGUGAAGGAUGAAGGUUUUCGGAUUGUAAACUUCUGUCCUCAAGGACGAAAAAAAUGACGGUACUUGGGGAGGAAGCCCCGGCUAACUACGUGCCAGCCGCCGCCGUAACAC